CAAGCAGUGGCCCCUGCUAUGUGGGCUGAUGGGAGCACACCGUCCAAGCAGCACUUCAAGUCUGACAAUGUCCCCUCUACACCAAGGUAGGUGGGCACUCGUGCAAAGAUCUAACAUCUUCACCGACUAGGACUAAGGAAGGAAUGAGCCCGGAGCUCGACACCCCAUCCAAUGGGCUUAAGUCUUAAGAAACUUCAGUGCAUACUUAACAUGGAGCAGCCUAUGGACAAUGAUUGCUUCAACACCGUCGUGCGUAUACUGGCAUGUGACGAGGGAGUAUUGUUCAUAGACCCUCCUAUAUACACUACAUGGAUCUAAGAUUUUGUUCCAAGAUGCUAGAGU